AAUGUCUGUGAUUGCAUUGUAAGUAGCUCACUUACAUUCUAAUCACAUACAUUAAGUCUGACAUACUAUGACAAUUCAAUUGAUUCUUUGCUUGUACUGCCUUCAAUUAACCCCAGAAUUAUUUGCCGGCACUGCCGGCAAUUAACCCCAGAAUUAUUUGCCGGCACUGCCAGCAAUUACCGCUUGCCUUUAUUUAUUUGUCCGAAAUCAAUCAAGUGGAAAUGGUUAUUGAUGGAGCCUAUAACUAUGAUUAUAGUUGACUAUGAUUUUAUUUUCCUCAGCCUAUUGACGUUUUGCCCAAAACAGUCGUUCAAAGCAAUUGCAUAAAACAUUGGUUAAACACUUCAGAUAAUGAACCUUCCAUCAACACUGAUCUGGAUAAUAACCUCAAUAUUUCUUAUCAAAAUGAUAAUGAAAUUAGUGAAUUUGAAGCUUUAUCUGAUAAAGAUUCAGAUAAAAGUGAUAAGAAUACUGUAAUAGAUGAACUAGAGGGUGAUUUAGCAUUUUGAUCUUCUCAGCAUAAUAUCACACAAGAAUUCACUGAUUUAAUUUGCUGAUCUAUGACCAGAGCUGCUUAAAUGUUAAUGCAUCCUAAAAUUUUAUUUAAAUUUGUGUUUUUUAUGUAUUUAAAUAAAAUUCAUUAUAUAUAUAUGUAUUUUUUAUGCUAUAUUUUAUAUGAUCUCAUCAUCGUUGUCAUCAUCCCCCACCUUAAUUUUUCUUUAUUCUAUAUAUUUAUUCAACCUUAAUUAUAUUUCUUUAUAAUUUCUUUAUUUUAAAUUUGGCGUUGAGUAAAACAAGUACUUCACUAAGUUUUAAUUAUUAUUUGUUGACUAAAGUAACACUUAUUAACUCCGUUAAUGUUUAGCCUUAAAAUUAUUUUUACUGAACAUCGUAAUAUCUUAAGGUAUUAUUUUGUAUUUCAUUUAUACUUUUUAAUGUAUACUUUAAAAUGUUUAUAAUAUACCAUAAAAAUUUCUAUAAACUAUAUUUUAACAUUAGACUAAUGUGUUUAGAGUAUAGAAGUAACCUGAUGAAAAUUAUGAUAGUGACUCACAAGAUUUUAAUGAACAUCAGGAAUUUAAAAAGUCUUGUCUGCAGACACCUGUCUCUGUGUUGAAUAAAAGUAGAACAAGAUUGGAAAAAGUGAUUAUAAUUACCUCUGUGAUUAAGGUGAAGGGAGUAGUAGCAAAAUUGAAUUGGACAGGGCAAGGUGAUCUUCAAAAAAAUUCUUUCCGAAUUCCUAAAUUUCGUCAAGUUAUUAAAAAAGAAAUUUGCUGACAAAAGAUACCACAUACAGCAAAAUUAAAAGGCAGUUGUGGCUUUUUUUUCCGGAGCUCUAGACAGAAAUAGAGGCAGAAAAAAAAGAGCAUAAAAAAGUCCAUCCAGAAAACAGUUCAACAGAAAGUCGUGGCUAUACUGCCCAAUCAUUGACAUUGAAGCCUUUAUCUUGAUUAUCAUUACCACGAUUUGAGCCCUAUAUUUUUGAUGAAUCUGACAAAGAAUAAUGUUCUCAAAGUCUUGCAUGAUCUCUUUUAUAUGUUAUGUUUUAUAUUAAUUGUAUAUUUGACAUUAUUAUAAGCUUUACAAGUAUUCAUAUUAUUAAUGAUAAAUUUAAUGCAUUUAUUUUUUAUAUAUUUUUAAUGCAAAUUUAUUAACGUGUAAAUUAUUAACA